CGUGUUCGUGUCAACCAUCUAACACUUGGUUUUAUUUUUCCAGUAAUAAAACAGAGAGAGUCUCUCUAGAAAAGGAGGAUUUAGGGUUUUUGAAUUUCUCUGGAAUCAAUCAGAGACUCAAACAAAUUUCAGGAUGUCUACCUUCUUAAAAUUCAACACACUUGGGCCCAAAACAAAGAACUUUGUUGUAGCUGGAGGAUUGACAAGUUUUGUAUUUGGAGUGUAUUUCUAUACAAUGAGAGCUGUUGGAGGCACCGAUGAGCUUCAGGUAGCUAUCGAUAAGUUCGAAGAUCUGAAAACUAGUAACGAGAGAGCAGAAUCGACUAGCCUACCAAAGUCUUGAGCAUCUCGUCUCCCCUUUGCCAUCCUUAUAGUCUCUUUUUUGUUGGUUGAGCAUGUUGCUCGAAUGACAGAUGGUACUGAAGUUGAAGAAAACCUUUGAAUAACAGUUUUUUGGAACAAUGAUGUUUCUUGUAAAAAUUACUGGUUACUUAUGAUACAGUGUUCUUUGUCAUAGAGAUUUUUAGAAUCUUAUUCCAAGCUGGUUUUUACUUAUUAUGAUAUCUGAAUUUCAGAUCUUAAUUUCAUUUGGUUCUGUUC